rnacentral:rRNA from 1 species
UUUUGAAAGGAACGAUUGAAGCCAGUCGUACCGACGGAAAAUCAACUUCUCGGGUGCCUAUCGUGGGUGACGUCUGAGCCUCACGGUCUUCGUUGCUUGUGUUGUUGGUACCUUUGGGGCGUACUUUUUCGUAUGGUAGGUCAACAUCUAUUUUGAUCGUCAUAAAAUGAUUGGAGGAAUGUAGCUUUGAUUUCGAUCGAAGUGUUAUAGCCUUUGGUAUAUGUGACGAUUGGGAUCGAGGAUUGCAACGAAUACCCUUUGGGCUAUCCGUCUGACCUCUGAAAGUCGCUUGGGUGUCGAAAGCUUGCUUAUGGCUAUGUGUUGGCGGUCAACAGGUUAGAACGCGAUUACAUUCGUU